rnacentral:tRNA from 1 species
GGGCCGAUAGCUCAGCGGCAGAGCACUGCUUUCGCAUAGCAGGGGUCUGGGGUUCAAAUCCCCAUCGGUCCACCC